rfam:Aedes aegypti strain Liverpool supercont1.34 genomic scaffold, whole genome shotgun sequence.
UGUCCAGUAACUCCUAUCCCUACCUCCCCGAGGUGCCGCCUGGGGUACGAGUAACUGUAGGGAAGAUCGGGUAACCAACCGUGAUGGGACCUUGGUCGUAUGCUGACAGGGAAGG